rnacentral:lncRNA from 1 species
AUGUAUUUUUCAUAUCGGUACGUCGUAACGGGGGCUGCCUCCCUAAAAUAAUUUUUUAUUUUUUUGAUCAAACUGUUUUUUCUUCAUUUUAUGUGAUGUGGAAGGCAAAGGUAAAUACAACUCUAAAUUUUCACUUUUCUAUCUUCGACCGUUAUUUUUUAAUAGCCAUCUAAAGUUUUGCAUCUUAUAUAUAAAAAUCUAUUGCUGUGCGUUAGUCUCGCUAAAACUCGAGAAUGUGUGGACCGAUUUGACUAAUUUUGAUAUUGAAUUAUUUGUGGAAGUUCAGGGAAGGUUUAUACGGUUUUAUAUUGUCAUUUUAGUAGCCACCAAAAUUUUUACAGCUAUAUGUAUAAAAUGCUCUUUUUACAGUGUUUGUUGCCAUACUCCUCCGAAACGACUUGACCGAUUUUUAUGAAAUUUUGCAAGUGUACUCGACCGGACCGGGAGUAGGUCGUUAUCUAUAUUUCAUACCCGUGCGUCUUAAGGGGGCUUGCCACCCUUAUAUUAAUUUCUAUUUUUUCAGACAAACCCUUUUUUUUUUAAUUGCGUAUGAUGUGGAACGUAAAGAUACAUACAACCCUAAAUUUUCACUUUUCUAUCACUAACCGUUAUUUUUUAAUGGCUAUUUAAAUAUUUUACAUCUAUAUAAACAAAAGAAAGUCGUGACAGUUACCAACACAUAACUCGAGAACGACUGAAUAGAUUUUUAUGAAAUUUUCCACGUGUAUUUGACCGGACCGAGAAUAGGUUGUUAUGUAUUUUUCAUAUCCGUACGUCGUAACGGGGGCUGCCCCCCUAAAAUAUUUUUUUAUUUUUUUGAUCAAAGUGUUUUUUCUUAAUUUUAUGUGAUGUGGAAAGCAAAGGUAAAUACAACCCUAAAUUUUCACUUUUCUAUCUUCGACCGUUAUUUUUUAAUAGCCAUCUAAAGUUUUGCAUCUUAUAUAUAAAAAUCUAUUGCUGUGCGUUAGUCUCGCUAAAACUCGAGAAUGUGUGGACCGAUUUGGCUAAUUUUGAUAUUGAAUUAUUUGUGGAAGUUCAGGGAAGGUUUAUACGGUUUUAUAUUGUCAUUUUAGUAGCCACCAAAAUUUUUACAGCUAUAUGUAUAAAAUGCUCUUUUUACAGUGUUUGUUGCCAUACUCCUCCGAAACGACUUGACCGAUUUUUAUGAAAUUUUGCAAGUGUACUCGACCGGACCGGGAGUAGGUCGUUAUCUAUAUUUCAUACCCGUGCGUCUUAAGGGGGCUUGCCACCCUUAUAUUUAUUUCUAUUUUUUCAGACAAACUCUUUUUUUUUUUAAUUGCAUAUGAUGUGGAACGUAAAGAUACAUACAACCCUAAAUUUUCACUUUUCUAUCACUAACCGUUAUUUUUUAAUGGCCAUUUAAAUAUUUUACAUCUAUAUAAACAAAAGAAAGUCGUGACAGUUACCAACACAUAACUCGAGAACGACUGAAUAGAUUUUUAUGAAAUUUUCCACGUGUAUUUGACCGGACCGAGAAUAGGUUGUUAUGUAUUUUUCAUAUCCGUACGUCGUAACGGGGGCUGCCCCCCUAAAAUAUUUUUUUAUUUUUUUGAUCAAACUGUUUUUUCUUAAUUUUAUGUGAUGUGGAAGGCAAAGGUAAAUACAACCCUAAAUUUUCACUUUUCUAUCUUCGACCGUUAUUUUUUAAUAGCCAUCUAAAGUUUUGCAUCUUAUAUAUAAAAAUCUAUUGCUGUGCGUUAGUCUCGCUAAAACUCGAGAAUGUGUGGACCGAUUUGGCUAAUUUUGAUAUUGAAUUAUUUGUGGAAGUUCAGGGAAGGUUUAUACGGUUUUAUAUUGUCAUUUUAGUAGCCACCAAAAUUUUUACAGCUAUAUGUAUAAAAUGCUCUUUUUACAGUGUUUGUUGCCAUACUCCUCCGAAACGACUUGACCGAUUAUUAUGAAAUUUUGCAAGUGUAC